UGUUACUUGUAGGUGUGACCCUCAUAGUCUGAUUUUUGGUAUCAGAUAACCUAUCCAUGAGCUCUUCCCUGUGGAAGGCUAUUUCUCCCAUUCUCCCCAAUCCUUAAUUGCCAGUAUAGCUCUCUGUGUAGGGAUGAGGUCUCCUUCCACUUUAGCGUACAUCUAUUGCUGUCCUUGUUGAGUUCAUUGUUUGGCAGUCAUGUUGGUGAGACUUUAUGGGUGUUUUGGCUAGUUUGUAUGUCAGCUGAACACACAAAGUAGACUUAGCUGAAAGGAGAGAAACUUAACUGACAAAAUACCUCCCUGAGAUCUGGCUAUAAUGCAUUUUCUUGACUACUGAUUGACGGGGAAGGCCCAGUCCAUUGUAGGUGGUACUGUACUAAGACUAGUGGAUCUGGGUUCUAUAAGAAAGCAAGCUGAGCAAGCCAUGGGAAGCAAGCCAGCAAUAGCACCCCUCCAAGGCCUCUGCAUCAGCUCUUGCCUCCAGGUUCCUGCCCUGCUUGAGUUCUUGGCUUGGCUUCCUUCAGUGAUGGCCUACAAUGUAGAAAUAAACCCAAUAAACCCAACUUCCCUUCCCAACUUGCUUUUCUGUCAUGGUGGGAGUUUUGGCAGCAAUAAAAAAAAAAUCUUAAUUAAGACAAUGACCAUAACUUCUGAAAUUGGUAGGAAAUUAGGUCUGAUAGCAAACUCCCUAUUCCCCUGGCUCUUAUCAUCUUUCCAUCCCUUUUCCCACAAUAAUACUUUAGCUUCAGUUCAGGAGUUGUAUUGUAAAUGUAUCUGUUGGGACUCGGCUAUACAAGUCUGUGUUUUGAUUAGUUAUGGCUUUCUGUAAUGGGCUGUCUGUUGCAAAGAGGAGUUUCCUUGAUUAGGAAUGAGGACUAUACUCCUCUAGGUAUAAGAACUAAUAUUUAAAAUAAAGUUGGGGACUAUGUUGGUUGAGUACUGUAGCACUUGUAGGUUCUCCUCCAGGAUCCUUGACUCCAUUAGCCCUGAGUAACUUGCUAGGUGUCCAGUGCCAAGCAUAAUCUUCCUCUUGUUAGAUGAGUAUUAAGUCCAAUUAGAGAGGUGUUGGUUACAGCCACAGUAUGUCUGCCACUACUGCACCCUGAGGGUUUUCAGGUUAUAGGGCCAUGGUUGUUGUUAGAGCACCACUUCUUACUCAAGGACAAUACUCAACAAUAGGGUGAUAAGUAGGGUGACUGAAUGUAGCCUACCACCCAACAAAAAAAGAGCUGCCCCCAAAAGCUCCUUCUUUGCAUUUCCUAAAUGCUUGUCUUAAUUAGGGUUUCCAUUUGCUGUGAAACGACCCCAGACCAAGGCAACUCUUAUCAAGGACAUUUCAUUGGACCUGGCAUACAAGUUCAGAGGUUCAGCCCAUUAUCACCAAGGUAGAAGCAUAGCAGUAUCCAGGCAGGGAUGGUGCAGGAGGAGCUGAGAGUUCUAUGUCUUGAUCUGAAAGCCACCAGAAGAAGUCUGUCUUCCAGGGAGCUAGGAGAAGCAAGUGUCUCAAAGCCCACCCCCAAAGUAACACACUUCCUCCAACAAGGCCACACCUCCUAAUUGUGAUAUUCCCUGAGCCAAGCAUAUUCAAACCACCUUGGUGCUUUUGACACUGCCAUAGAAAUCCACAGCUCCCCCAAAUAUUAUAGGGGCCCAAGAGCCUAAUGCCAUAAAUACCAUACAUUAUCCUCUAUUGAGUUAAUUGAAAAAUAUCACAUUCUAUUAUAUCAUUCCUUAUACUUUCAGGAAACCAUCAUUGAAUAGUUCAAUGUGUCUUAUUAUUAUUAUUAUUCCACGCUUAUGUGAAAACUAAUUUUGUAGAGCAGGGUCAAGACAGCACAUGAUACUGUCGGGUAAACCCUUUAGCUCUAUGUAAAAAGUCAGUCAGAGGAAAUCCACCCAUUCAUAUUUUAUCUACUCUACUGGCCCAGUGCUGUGCAAUCUAGGCUGCCCUGCUGAAGAACAGGUGCUGAUUAGCAGUGGAGGCUUCUUUCACAGUAGAAGCAGCUGGAUAGCCUAGAACAGAUGUUUUCUUCUUAUAUCCUUGAGAGCUACCUGGUUCUCACUGCAGAACAAGAUGAAGGUCAAUAAAAGUAUAGAAUCAGCCAACAAAAAGGGAUGCUCACUGACAGCUAGGUAUGGGCACAGCUUAGCAUUUUAUUCGUGAAGCAGCUAGCUGCUCUUCCAGGACACUUGACUACACCCUCUUCCAACAGAGGGCUCAAUGGUCAAGGGCAAAACUAAACAGAUUUCAUGAAGGAUAUAAGCUCUUGAAUGUUGGGUUAGCAUGGUGAAUACACCAGGAGAGUGGGAGGGAUACAGAAGACAGCUGCCGCAAACCUCUUUGCUGCACUUACUGGAUCUGUUGACAUUUAUUCCUUUAUCUGGAAUUCUCUAGAUACUGUAGAAGAAACAGUGUCCUCCCAGAAGAGUGACAGCCAUCAUAACGGGAACAAGGAGAGUCUUCUAGAAGCUUCCAAGUAUCUCAGAAACUAGAUUUCUGAAGUAGCGUAGACAUUGUGGCUUGGGGUAUUUAGUUAAAGUUAGCUUCACACCAGUGGGUUCUUUUGUCCCUUUGAGGAGCUGAUGGAAGAAUAGUCUCACCCUAGAAACAUCGUCCUGUCUGUAAGAACUCAGAUUUAUAGUUCACUGAAAUUCUACAAUGCCUGCCCAAUUUGGACCACUCUCCCAUAUGACAUUUUUCCAUUUCUGGUUAUCACCAGAACUGUAAUUUGCUUUUAAUUUCUCUUCAGUCCAGUUAAUUUCAGCUAAGGUAGUUUCUAUACCACUGCCUCAAGUAGAAAGUUGGCAUCAACUAUCACAGAUAAAAGCUGUGCACCGAAUACAAGACAGUGUUAUUAAACCCUGUGUUCACUGUGUAUGCCUUCUAAUGACUGGGCACCCACUGCAGCUCUCUUUAUCUUUUCUAAAGAGAUUGGGUAAAUAUCAACAUCAUUAAGCCGGCCCCAAAAUGAUUCUUUCUACCUAAAAGACGCAACUUUGUCAACAUCAACAACCUAAGAGCCUCUUCAGUGUCUAAGAGCCUCAUUAUUCAGGGUAUGAUAUAAGAACCAGCAGCCCUGCUGCCUCUUAGUUUUAUAGAGCCUUGGCCCCUAAAACUAUAAGAGAGUCACAAAUUCACAAGGUCCCCAAAUGUCUCAGUCCACAGUUGAGUCAAAGGCUGUGACCUAGAGGCCAUGGGUUCAGGUAACCAAGCCCAAGCUUCCACAUCUCCUUGUUCUCAUGAGUUAAACCAGUAAGGUGUGGGUUCUGGCACAUCAUUCAGUGUGGCACCAGCAUAUAGUGCCACAUCACUAAUGCCAUCCAUAGUGUCCUAUACAAUUAUCUCAGGCUAGAAACAGAUGAGCCCAUCCCCAAGAUAUGUGACAGGGCAAAGAGACUUUCC
rnacentral:lncRNA from 1 species